CCACAUUAUGUUGAAACACCAGUUCUCAUACGAUCACCAGUUAAGUAAUGUUGAGCCUGGUUAGUACAGAGGUGGGUGACCACUUGGGAAUACCAGGUUCUGUAAG